GGGCGUAAGCGUGCGCAGGCGGAUUGUUAAGCAAGAUGUGAAAUCCCCGGGCUUAACCUGGGAAUGGCAUUUUGAACUGGCAGUCUAGAGUGCGUCAGAGGGGGGUGGAAUUCCACGUGUAGCAGUGAAAUGCGUAGAGAUGUGGAGGAACACCGAUGGCGAAGACAGCCCCCUGGGAUGACACUGACGCUCAUGUACGAAAGCGUGGGUAGCAAACAGGAUUAGAUACCCUGGUAGUCCACGCCCUAAACGAUGUCAACUGGUUGUUGGGGGAGUGAAAUCCCUUAGUAACGAAGCUAACGCGUGAAGUUGACCGCCUGGGGAGUACGGUCGCAAGAUUAAAACUCAAAGGAAUUGACGGGGACCCGCACAAGCGGUGGAUGAUGUGGAUUAAUUCGAUGCAACGCGAAAAACCUUACCUACCCUUGACAUGUCCGGAAUCCUGCAGAGAUGCGGGAGUGCCCGAAAGGGAAUCGGAACACAGGUGCUGCAUGGCUGUCGUCAGCUCGUGUCGUGAGAUGUUGGGUUAAGUCCCGCAACGAGCGCAACCCUUAUCAUUAGUUGCUACGCAAGGGCACUCUAAUGAGACUGCCGGUGACAAACCGGAGGAAGGUGGGGAUGACGUCAAGUCCUCAUGGCCCUUAUGGGUAGGGCUUCACACGUCAUACAAUGGUCGGUACAGAGGGUUGCCAAGCCGCGAGGUGGAGCCAAUCCCAGAAAGCCGAUCGUAGUCCGGAUUGUUCUCUGCAACUCGAGAGCAUGAAGUCGGAAUCGCUAGUAAUCGCGGAUCAGCAUGUCGCGGUGAAUACGUUCCCGGGUCUUGUACACACCGCCCGUCACACCAUGGGAGUGGAAUCU
rnacentral:rRNA from 1 species